GAUGAACGCUGGCGGCGUGCCUAAUACAUGCAAGUCGAGCGAACGGACGAGAAGCUUGUUUCUCUGAUGUUAGCGGCGGACGGGUGAGUAACACGUGGAUAACCUACCUAUAAGACUGGGAUAACUUCGGGAAACCGGAGCUAAUACCGGAUAAUAUUUUGAACCGCAUGGUUCAAAAGUGAAAGACGGUCUUGCUGUCACUUAUAGAUGGAUCCGCGCUGCAUUAGCUAGUUGGUAAGGUAACGGCUUACCAAGGCAACGAUGCAUAGCCGACCUGAGAGGGUGAUCGGCCCCCCUGGAACUGAGACACGGUCCAGACUCCUCCGGGAGGCAGCAGUAGGGAAUCUUCCGCAAUGGGCGAAAGCCUGACGGAGCAACGCCGCGUGAGUGAUGAAGGUCUUCGGAUCGUAAAACUCUGUUAUUAGGGAAGAACAUAUGUGUAAGUAACUGUGCACAUCUUGACGGUACCUAAUCAGAAAGCCACGGCUAACUACGUG
rnacentral:rRNA from 1 species